CCUACGGGUGGCAGCAGUGGGGGAUAUUGCACAAUGGGGGAAACCCUGAUGCAGCGACGCCGCGUGGGUGAAGAAGCGCCUCGGCGCGUAAAGCCCUGUCAGCAGGGAAGAAAAUGACGGUACCUGAAGAAGAACCCCCGGCUAACUACGUGCCAGCAGCCGCGGUAAUACGGAGGGGGCAAGCGUUAUCCGGAUUUACUGGGUGUAAAGGGGGCGCAGACGGCGAUGCAAGCCAGGAGUGAAAGCCCGGGGCCAAACCCCGGGACUGCUCUUGGAACUGCGUGGCUAGAGUGCAGGAGAGGCAGGCGGAAUUCCUGGUGUAGCGGUGAAAUGCGUAGAGAGCAGGAGGAACACCGGUGGCGAAGGCGGCCUGCUGGACUGCAACUGACGUUGAGGCCCGAAAGCGUGGGGAGCAAACAGGAUUAGAUACCCUUGUAGUC
rnacentral:rRNA from 1 species